rnacentral:rRNA from 1 species
GUGGUUUAAUUCGAUGCAACGCGAAAACCUUACCACCUUUGACAUGUACGGAAUCCUUUAGAGAUAGAGGAGUGCUCGAAAGAGAACCGUAACACAGGUGCUGCAUGGCUGUCGUCAGCUCGUGUCGUGAGAUGUUGGGUUAAGUCCCGCAACGAGCGCAACCCUUGUCAUUAGUUGCUACAUUCAGUUGGGCACUCUAAUGAGACUGCCGGUGACAAACCGGAGGAAGGUGGGGAUGACGUCAAGUCCUCAUGGCCCUUAUAGGUGGGGCUACACACGUCAUACAAUGGAUGGUACAAAGGGUCGCCAACCCGCGAGGGGGAGCCAAUCCCAUAAAGCCAUUCGUAGUCCGGAUCGCAGUCUGCAACUCGACUGCGUGAAGUCGGAAUCGCUAGUAAUCGUGGAUCAGAAUGUCACGGUGAAUACGUUCCCGGGUCUU